ensembl:lncRNA
UGAGACUCCUUCUCCUGGGCCCAGCAGCUGGUACUGUUUUCAAAUUCAACCUUUCUGAUGUGGAAAUGCCAGUAGAAGUGAUCAGCAUCUCCAGGGGCUGUGGUGAGCAGACACUCUGAGCUUUGUGUCCGGGACAGUCGUCUGAAGAGCAGAGAUGGACACUCCCUCAGCCCACUGAGAGGUCUUUGUGCUUUCAUGAAAACUGGGAGAUCCUUCUAUGACAAGUGCCUGUCAUCCCAAAGAAGCGCUACAAUCACAGUCUGGUGCAAUGACAGUCUGGCGUGUCCUGGGGUGAGCGCUCAGCCAGCAAACCCUGUGACCCACAGGACAAGUCCCUCCUGGCCAUGUUUUACAAAUAAAGUUUUACUGGCACUCAGCCAAGCUCAUCCAUCGGGGCUAUCUGUGGUAUGUCACACCACAGCAACCAUUGCGACAGAGAAAGUGUGGCCCCAAAGGUUGAAAUAUGUACAGACCGGUCCUUAAGACAAAAACAAAAUGUGUCGGUCCCUGGUCUAGAGCUGAGCUGUCCACAGAUAUCCACUCCAUCUGUGGCUAUUUAAAUUUUAAUAAAUGAAAAUUAAAUAAAGUUAAACCCAGA